rnacentral:rRNA from 1 species
UACGUAGGGUGCAAGCGUUGUCCGGAAUUAUUGGGCGUAAAGCGCACGUAGGCGGUUCGUUAUGUCGGAUGUGAAAGCCCUUGGCUUAACCGAGGAAGUGCAUCCGAAACUGGCGAGCUAGAGUACGAAAGAGGAUCGCGGAAUUCCCGGUGUAGAGGUGAAAUUCGUAGAUAUCGGGAGGAACACCGGUGGCGAAGGCGGCGAUCUGGGUCGAUACUGACGCUGAGGUGCGAAAGCGUGGGGAGCAAACAGG